UACGUAGGGUGCGAGCGUUGCCCGGAAUUAUUGGGCGUAAGAGCUCGUAGGCGGUGUGUCACGUCGGCCGGUGAAAACCUGCAGCUUAACCCCGGUUCUGCAUUCGAUACGGGCUGGCUAGAGUGUGGUAGGGGAGAUCGGAAUUCCUGGUGUAGCGGUGAAAUGCGCAGAUAUCAGGAGGAACACCGGUGGCGAAGGCGGCUGCCUGGACCAGUCCUGACGCUGAGGCGCGAAAGCAUGGGGAGCGAACAGG
rnacentral:rRNA from 1 species